GACGAACGCUGGCGGCGUGCUUAACACAUGCAAGUUGAACGGGUCAUAUAUGAAGGGUAACCGGAGUGUAUGGCUAGUGGCGAACGGGUGAGUAAUGCAUGAGAACGUAUCCUCAAGAGGGGGACAACAUUGGGAAACCGAUGCUAAUACCCCAUAAGCCGGGAGGUAAAAGGAGCAAUCCGCUUGAGGAGCGGCUCAUGUCCUAUCAGCUGGUUGGUGAGGUAACGGCUCACCAAGGCGAAGACGGGUAGCCGGCCUGAGAGGGUGAACGGCCACACUGGAACUGAGAGACGGUCCAGACUCCUACGGGAGGCAGCAGGUGGGGAAUAUUGGGCAAUGGGGGAAACCCUGACCCAGCGACGCCGCGUGAGGGAAGAAGGCCUUAGGGUCGUAAACCUCUGUUGUGUGGGAAGAAGAGCGUGACGGUACCACACGAGGAAGUCCCGGCUAACUACGUG
rnacentral:rRNA from 1 species